rnacentral:tRNA from 1 species
GCGCCCUUACAGGCGCUUUUUAUUGCGAAAGAAAUCAAGGGUUUUCGGCCUUCUAAGCCGUAGGUUACAGGUUCGAGCCCUGUAGGGCGUACCA